UAGAGGUUUGCUGACAAUCUCUUUGGUUGACUCCUUCCGUUUCAUCCAUGUGGACAUUACUUUCAAUCUGUCUCUAAGUGUCAUGGAGAUAAUGGCGCAGGAUAGUCCCAAGGUUGGCUCAAACUCCUCUGGGGGCCCCUCUAUGAUCAGAGAAUCAUAGAAAUGUAGAGCUCAGGGACCUCCAGAGGUCAUCUUAUCCCAAGAGAAGGGAUUGAAAAGAAAAUAAACGGCAGACAGAGACCAGCAGAUCCCUGAAUAAGCCUCCUAGUUAGAGCUGAGUGAAGGGUCCGGAGGAAAGGGAACACCCCAGAGGAAGCUGCCAAUCAGGGAGAGCAUGAAGGAGACUGGGAGGGUGAGGUCCGGGAGUAAGUUCUGGCACGGUCUUGGGGCACAAACAGCAGGAUACCAGGCUAUGAAGCACUGCACAGGAUGAGCUGCGCUUUCCCAUAUUUACUGAUUCUGUGGUGUGUGGAGCAAUGAAGUGCAAGCAUGGGCAGAGCUCUAACUCUGCACCUCCCUGUGGGGGCACCUGAUCGAUGGCACCCCAGGAUGGCAAGGUCUGCAGCCCAUUGGAACUAGCACCAGCCGGCUCUCAGGGGAUGCAGAAAUGAAAGCUUGUCAUUGAAAUUGAUUGAUUCAUAGUUUGGAAGCUGUUCAGCUUUCCGGGCAACAUAAUUCAAGCCUCUUUCAUCCGCAUUUACAGAAGAGACACAGUGGUCCCACCUUAUGGGCUUCAAGUCAGCAAUGUCAGAAGUGAAUUCUUUGGAUUUACCUUGGAAGUUUAUAUGCUCAUAAAUGAUGAUCCCAUUCAUUUUGGUGGGUGUGGCAGGAUCUUUGUGACUUGUUCUUGGAGCCGAAGCAGUGUCUGAGAAACUCCUGCA